AGCCCAGCUUGCUGGGUGGAUCAGUGGCGAACGGGUGAGUAACACGUGAGUAACCUGCCCCUGACUCUGGGAUAAGCCUUGGAAACGAGGUCUAAUACCGGAUACGUGACGCUCAGGCAUCUGAUGCGUCUGGAAAGAUUUAUCGGUCAGGGAUGGACUCGCGGCCUAUCAGCUUGUUGGUGGGGUAACGGCCUACCAAGGCGACGACGGGUAGCCGGCCUGAGAGGGCGACCGGCCACACUGGGACUGAGACACGGCCCAGACUCCUACGGGAGGCAGCAGUGGGGAAUAUUGCACAAUGGGCGCAAGCCUGAUGCAGCGACGCCGCGUGAGGGAUGAAGGCCUUCGGGUUGUAAACCUCUUUCAGCAGGGAAGAAGCGCAAGUGACGGUACCUGCAGAAGAAGCGCCGGCUAACUACGUGCCAGCAGCCGCGGUAAUACGUAGGGCGCAAGCGUUGUCCGGAAUUAUUGGGCGUAAAGAGCUCGUAGGCGGUCUGUCGCGUCUGCUGUGAAAACUCGAGGCUCAACCUCGGGCUUGCAGUGGGUACGGGCAGACUAGAGUGCGGUAGGGGAGACUGGAAUUCCUGGUGUAGCGGUGGAAUGCGCAGAUAUCAGGAGGAACACCGAUGGCG
rnacentral:rRNA from 1 species